rnacentral:rRNA from 1 species
AAUUUUGCGCAAUGGGGGAAACCCUGACGCAGCAACGCCGCGUGAAGGAUGAAGGCCUUUGGGUCGUAAACUUCUGUCAGAGGGGAAGAAAUGCCCGCAAGGGUGCUGACGGUACCCUCAAAGGAAGCACCGGCUAACUCCGUGCCAGCAGCCGCGGUAAUACGGAGGGUGCAAGCGUUGUUCGGAAUUAUUGGGCGUAAAGCGCAUGUAGGCGGACUUUUAAGUCUGAUGUGAAAGCCCAGGGCUCAACCCUGGAACUGCAUUGGAUACUGGAAGUCUUGAGUAUGGGAGAGGAAAGCGGAAUUCCGAGUGUAGGGGUGAAAUCCGUAGAUAUUCGGAAGAACACCAGUGGCGAAGGCGGCUUUCUGGACCAAUACUGACGCUGAGAUGCGAAAGCGUGGGGAGCGAACAGGAUUAGAUACCCUGGUAGUCCACGCCGUA